UACGAGAGCCUCGAGCGUUAUCCGGAAUUAUUGGGCGUAAAGGGUGCGUAGGUUGUUCUGUUAGUCUUUUGUUAAAGCCCCGGGCUUAACCUGGGAAUCGCGAAAGAAACGGCAGAACUAGAAAGUGUGAGAGGCGUACGGAACUCAUGGUGUAGGGGUGAAAUCCGUUGAUAUCAUGGGGAACACCAAAAGCGAAGGCAGUACGCUGGCGCAUAUUUGACACUGAAGCACGAAAGCGUGGGUAGCGAAUGGG
rnacentral:rRNA from 1 species